UUAAAGAGCAAAUGGUGACCUCAUGACCCCACCCCCCCUCUGUACCCCCUCUUUAAGUGAGGCUGUGUUUAGUAUGCACAGGAAGCUGCAGACUCCGACACGGAGGAUAUGAUACGGAGGAGAGGACUUGUUCUGACCUUCAUCAGGGAGCCAGAGUAGAUUAUUGGUCAAAGAACCACAUCCACAUGUACACACAGAGGACAGGAAGAGGACAAACCAGAGUAUUAGCGUCAUUCAGGGGACCACAAUACUAAUGCAUUUGAGGGCUUCUACACUAGAUUACAAAUUCCCUCUGCCUGUCAACAAAAGCACCUGCUCACCGCUGGACGUUAAUUUGUUUUGACAUGCUUUAUAAUUUCAUUCCAACACAGAAUUAACUUCCAAUACCAAAAGCUAUUAGCCGGGGAAAUGGGGACGGCGGACUCCUGUGUGCUUGGUCCCAGCAGUAGCCGCAAGCACACUCACAACCAUGGCAACAGACGGACCAGACCGUGUGAGAGGAUGGUCUGAUGUCAGUGAAGGAAUGACAGGUGAAAGAGAGGUUCUGCCCUUUGAUUAAGAUUGCAUCAAGGGUGCAGAUGUGAAAUGGCUAUUGAUUGGUUCCCUCUCUAUCUUCUUCUGCCAUGAUGAACAGAGAACACAAUCACAGUGGGCGAAGUGGUCUUAGAGUGGCACUGGCACUUUAUUCGCAAGUGUCCGUCAUCUGUGUCGUGUUAUCUUCCGUGAUAGAGCGUCCGGCCUCUCUUACCUCCCAUUACUCACAGCCUUAUGACAUCAUAAUGGUUGAAGAUGGAGACCGUUAGUGAUAAUUUAUGAGGCUAUUAUCAACACUCUGUGGGGACCUUAACAAAUAUCUAACACAUAUACAGCAUGUAACAAUGAAAAAAAAAUAACACAUCAGAAGUGGGGGAUUUUAAAAAGCUGGCUUGUUAAAUACAUGUUAUAUGUUUCAGAAAAAUCAAUAAAUAAUGUAACAUUACAUAAUGUGACAAAUUGCUUUUAUAGGAAGAGGCAUUGAACAAUCUCAAACUGAACCAAAAAUAGAUCAUUGAAUUGACAAGUACAAUUUGUCCCUGAAAUUGUUAUAUUGUCAUCAUUGUCAAGAUUGUCACCACUGAACUUUUAUCUAUACUUUUUUUUUUUUAAAUAAUUUUUGUAGCAUUUUAAAUAUUUUUUGUCUUAUUUAUUUAUUUAUUUUUUUAAACUUGAUAACAGUUCUAAAAUGUAAUAUAAAAAUAGUUUCACACAGCGCCAAGUCUCCAUCUCAGAUGGUCCCGCCCAGCCUCCCAGUCCUUCCUCCUCCAAGUAAGCCGUCCAGUUCUUCAGAGUCAGAAGACUCCUCAGCAUAUUGAUGUUACAAUGUCUCGAGCCUCCUGUGGUGCAAGGUCUGGCUCUGCCUUGGGCCUUCAAGCCCAAAGCUCCACCUUGGCCGUCAACCAGUCGGCUUUAUCUUGUCUCCUCGCUUUUGCUCCACUUGGGACCAUCAUCCUUUCGGCUCCACCCUGGUAGU